ACGCUGGCGGCAUGCUUUACACAUGCAAGUCGGACGGCAGCACAGAGAAGCUUGCUUCUUGGGUGGCGAGUGGCGAACGGGUGAGUAAUAUAUCGGAACGUACCGAGUAAUGGGGGAUAACUAAUCGAAAGAUUAGCUAAUACCGCAUAUUCUCUGAGGAGGAAAGCAGGGGGCCUUCGGGCCUUGCGUUAUUCGAGCGGCCGAUAUCUGAUUAGCUAGUUGGUGGGGUAAAGGCCUACCAAGGCGACGAUCAGUAGCGGGUCUGAGAGGAUGAUCCGCCACACUGGGACUGAGACACGGCCCAGACUCCUACGGGAGGCAGCAGUGGGGAAUUUUGGACAAUGGGCGCAAGCCUGAUCCAGCCAUGCCGCGUGUCUGAAGAAGGCCUUCGGGUUGUAAAGGACUUUUGUCAGGGAAGAAAAGGCUGUUGCUAAUACCGACAGCUGAUGACGGUACCUGAAGAAUAAGCACCGGCUAACUACGUGCCAGCAGCCGCGGUAAUACGUAGGGUGCGAGCGUUAAUCGGAAUUACUGGGCGUAAAGCGAGCGCAGACGGUUACUUAAGCAGGAUGUGAAAUCCCCGGGCUCAACCUGGGAACUGCGUUCUGAACUGGGUGACUAGAGUGUGUCAGAGGGAGGUAGAAUUCCACGUGUAGCAGUGAAAUGCGUAGAGAUGUGGAGGAAUACCGAUGGCGAAGGCAGCCUCCUGGGAUAACACUGACGUUCAUGCUCGAAAGCGUGGGUAGCAAACAGGAUUAGAUACCCUGGUAGUCCACGCCCUAAACGAUGUCAAUUAGCUGUUGGGCAACUUGAUUGCUUAGUAGCGUAGCUAACGCGUGAAAUUGACCGCCUGGGGAGUACGGUCGCAAGAUUAAAACUCAAAGGAAUUGACGGGGACCCGCAC
rnacentral:rRNA from 1 species